UCCCCUCGAGACCCCUGAAGCAGCAGGAAAGAGAGAAACCAGGACGAGGAGACCGGACGGCGAGCCGGAGACCCGUGGGAGGACGUUUAAGGGGUUUGAGGAGACUCGUGCGCCGCCCCUAAAGACUUGAGAGCUUUGGUAGUGAGGGGAUAAAAAGGUCUGGCAAUUACUUCUCUAAGUGUGGGAGGGUGAAGCUGGAGCGGCGCUGCCAGCUAGGCACACGCUCAGGGGAGCGGUCCUCUACACAACGAACGGGCGUUAUAAUACGUAAGACCACCCCCUGCAUUCCAGGCCCCAGUCACCAAAAGCACUAAGAUGACAAGGCGCCACCAAGACAUCAGGUGAGACCCCCAAACAAAAACAGCAAGCUGAAUUAAAGCGAGCAUUUUCCUUCCUUCCAUGAAUCUCAAACGGCAUUUUUUAAUAUUCACCGUUGAAGCCAUCCCUUUUGUUGACUGAUCCUGGAGAGACUUGAAGUAUGUAUUCCCAUGAUUAAUGGGCUGCCUGAUUCUACUGGCUUUGGCUGUGGAUAUGCUACAACAAGUAAUAAAUAUUUACAGCGAGAUUUUAGAUGUUGCGGAGCAGUUAACGAAUCCUCUCUGGACCAGCAAAGCUGCUUGGCUUUUGGCAAGAUUGUAUCCCACAAAGUGGUGUAUGCAAAACCAACUGGAUACACACAAAGAGAGAGACAGAGACGGAGACAGAGAAGUUGGAAGGGAGACAAGGAAGUUUUGAAGGGCGGCAGGAAAGUUCUAGUGAGAGACUUGAUCCUCCUCCUUCACUCAGGCUCUGGUCCCAGGUGCUUCUUAUGGCGAAGCAUCUGACCCCAUGGUGUGUGUGUCCAGUGUUUAAAGGCAUGUCUUUUUCACACACUUUCUUCCCAACUGCAAACCAGCUCCUUCAUUUGUUGUUCAUCCAAAGUGGCUACAAUCUGAUCUGGAGCUAGAAGAGGAGCCCCUGGCUGUGUCAGGCUCCCUGGGAAAUGGUGUGCUGCUCUCCAAAAUGGUGCCUCCUUACAGGAUUUCCUGCAGUAGUUUUACCUCCGCCUCAUUAUCGCCCUGCAAGCUGCCGGGACCGCCGCGUCUCAUAAGAAACAACUGCACUCGGCGGUCAGGACUUGGGCUUUGGCGUCAGACGGAUCUAGAUUCAAGCAUGGCCUCUACCCUUAAAGCUUGUGGGACAAUGGGCAAGUUACUUACCACUCUAAGCCUUGAUAUUCUCCAUAAAACGGAAAAAUAAAGGUACCUAGCACUCAUGAUACUUAGCAUUUAGCCCCAUGCUAGCAAAGGAUAAGUCCUUAAUAAAUAUUAAUAUAGUACUAACAUUAACUUUUUAUCAUUUCUUACCAACCUUCAAUCACCUGAGAGUCACUCUUUGCCUUUAAGCCUUAUCUGAUAUGAUUCCCUGUAUUUGAAAUGACUCAGUUUCUCUUCACAGCUCAGAGUCCCACAUUUGUAUUCAGGAUCACCUGUUAAGGAAGUUUGUUCAGAUUUAGUAAUCCUUUCUACACAUAUUUUCUUCAAAUUUACCUUUUUAUAUUUAUACCCAGUGUUAUUAAUAGUAACUGAUUUCAAAUAUGUUUUUUAAGUUUUAACUUCCUCAAAGUAAUCGUACUAAAAGGCUACACACAUAUAUGAAUGAUUAUUCAAAUUAUUUUGUGAAAACCACUUUUAGAAUUUCCAUCAAAAUAUACAAUUUAAAAAAUAUCUUCAACACAGGAAAAUCAUCGUUGCAUUCAUUCAUUCAAGAAAUAUUUACUGAAUGCUUACUAUGUGCUGGAUAGACAAUAAGCAAGAUAAACCAGUAAAAUAUGUAGUAUGUUAGAGUGAUAACUGCUAGUAAGAAAAAUAAGGCAGAGAAGGUUGCUAAGAGUUGGGGAAGUAACAUUAAAGACUUGAAAGAAAGUAGGAAGCCAGCCUAUAUCUGGGAGCAGAGGGACAGCAAGUGAAAAGGCCACACCCAAAGCAGAGGCAGCCGCCCCCUAGAACCACCCUUGUAGGAGGACCACCCCAGCAGGAGGACCAUCCCGGAGGUGGGGAUGGGGGAAGAGAAUGUAAAGGGGCCACAGGGGGAGCAUUAGAAGAUGUGGCCGGAGAGGCAAUCACGUAGGGUCUUAUUAUGGGUCAUGAUAAGGACUUUGGCUUUUAUUGUGAAUGAGAUGGGAAGCUAUGAUAGAGUUUUAGGCAGAAGAGUGACAUGAUCUUACAUUUUAACAGGAUCACUUGGGCUGUGUGUUAAGGAGUGAAGAGACAGAAGGGGAGAGCAGUGAGGAGGUUCUCGAAGCAAGCCAGGGGCGGACAAGGAGUCAAUUGAUGAGCGACAGUACCCAAGAACAGCCCACAGUGAACCCAGAGGCCACAAAAGGCCCACAGCCCACAGCCCUGGGGAGCAUGUUACAGAAGAUGGAUGGAGGAGAAAGUAAGGCCAACCUUCAGGAUUGGCCUGUGGCUUAGUGAAGGCUGGUCCUGAGCAAAAGAGGAAUUAUUUUGGUGCUCCCCGAUAAUUCUCCCUAGGUUGAUCUCUCAGAUCCAGAAGCCAUUUGGCGAUGAGUCUCAGACUUAACUACUAUCAGAAUUACCUACCUGGAGAGCAUGUUACUAUCCUGGGGUCUUUCCCAGAUACAGUGAUUCAACGGGUCUGGUGAAAGAAUCAGCAAUCUGCAUUUCUAACAAGUAUCCUAGAUGAUUCUCUAACAAGUACGCUACAUGACUCUAAAUCAGGUGGUCUGCAGCUCAUGCUUUGAGAAACUCUUGUUUAGAGUAACCAGAGUAAUUUUCAUGUCUGCUUUCUAACUGAAGAGUAAAAGUUUCAACUUCUCUUUUCUAUAAUGCCCUUAACAGGGGUGGAAAAGAUUAUAGGAAAAUACAUGAGAGAAUAUAUGACACAGCUUUCAUGGCCUUUACAAAAUAUACAUGCUUACUCAUAAUCCAAAUAAUCAGGAAAUUCAAAUAACACGAAUUUUCAGUUUACUCUCUGACAAGUGAGGUUUACUAUGAAACGAGGCACUGCAAGAUUCUGAGUUGCUUCCUGAGUCAUCAAUGACUAGAUUAAGCUCCUCAUAGUUUUAGCACUGUGAAUAUUUUAUUGUAUUCUUAGAAAAUUGGUUAUUUUUGAAUCAGGUUAUAACUCUUAGGUAACUAGAAUAUUAAAUUUAUCCAGACAUAUCUUUAAAAAUUACUCCAGGUAAAUAGGAAUUUUCUGUACUAAUCUUAGAAUAUGAUACACAUUAUGAUAUACUUUAUUGUAGUACACAUUUUUUCUGAAUAUAAUGAAAAUAGCAAACUUCUCUAAACAUUUCAAUUGCAUGGGGCAAUUUUUAUUCCACCAAUCUCCAUGUUUGAUAAGGUUGUUUUAUAACUAAGUGUUUUAAGUAUAUUUAGCUGUCCUCGGGGAAAACCAAGAAAAGCAAUUUUGAUUUUUCCAUGUUAUUAAAGCAUAGUGGAAAAUGAAAAUGGUAAUUUUUUAAUAUAAUUUUGAGUUUUAUUUAGAUAUGAUACAUUCUAAUUUUUGAAAAUGUGGUUUUAUUUAAAUGUGACAUAUUGAAAUACGGUUUAUUUAAAUGUGAAACAAUGUCUAAUUCAUAAAGAUAAAUAACAGAAUGAGUGGCCAAUCAACAAGGUUCAUGGCUAGCUCUUUGCCUGUAAGGAUUCAACAACCCACACAACUGCUCAUGGAAACAGACUCUCUUGCUCAUUGUCUGCUUCUCACUCAUCUCUAUUGCUCCUGUUAUCUUCCAGGAAUGUAUACCAUACAACAGAGCCUCAUUAUUACCAGGUAUAUAUCACAUAAAAUUAAUUUCUAAGAUGCCUACAGUUGAAAGAUUAUAUCAGCCUACAUGUUUAGAGUCACAUUAAGGAACAUUUUUAAUAGCACCGGACUGACUGUAGACAUCUUCAAGAUGUAAUGUCUUCCACUGGUGAAGCACAACUGGCCCAUUCCAGUCAGGCUGACACCAGUGUAAAGAGUGACAUUACCCUAGUUCCAAGGAUGGUUAAUUCCUGAACCCUGUCAUAGUUGGGAUCUGAUCUCAAUGUUAUUUACGUUGAGAAAAAUAAACUUACAUAUAGAUUUUCUGCAUUUUAGAAGCCGAAGCAGUGAACAUAAAAAGGAAAAAUUUUUGGACACAACAGUUGGGGAAAACUAACAAUAAAAUGACUAAUUUAGGAGAGAAGAGAGACUGAUAAGGUAUACUGUUUCAAAGUCAAGUAAAAAGGGAGAAUACAUUAGUUUCAAAAGAACGAACGUAGUUAAUAAUGCAGAAUGACCACCACUUGUAGAAAUAAAGGAAGAUGUCAAAACUUCUGGGCAUUCAAAACUGCACCUGAUAGGGAUAUACCAGAGAAUUCACCAUGAAUAUGCUGCUUACUUUAGAUUUUUGUUAUCUUUUAUCAGAUUUAGCAAGUUUCCUUCUCCUCCUAGUUUGCUAAGAAUUACUUUUUUACAAAAGGAUAUAUAGAUGUUGAAUUUUAUCAGAUGGUUUUACUGCAUCAAUCUGAGUUGAUCAUAUUUAUUUCAUGGUUUUUUUUAAUGUGACAAAAUACAUUUUCUAAUGUCAAACCCUCCUGCAUUCCUGGAAUAAAUCCAACUUGGUCAUGAUGCGCAAUUCCUAUUUAUGUUGCAGGAUUUGGUUUGCUGACCAUUUUGGUUUGUUUGGGAUUUUUGUAUCUUUAUUCAGUGAGAUUGGCCUAUAAAUUUUCCCUUUGUUUGGUUUCUGCAUCAAGGUUAUGCUCUUCAAGAGUGCACCCCUUUUUCUAUUUGCUAGAAUAGGGAAUAUGUCAUUUAAAAAAGGAAGCACUGAAAAGAUUAUAGUUUUGUAAAUGUCUCUCUUAUGCAUGAGCAUCGUUAAGGGGACUCCAAUGAAGAACAGCGAAGGAACGUUCAAAAUAAACCAUGUUAUCAAGCAGUUGGUCUCACACAGCCUGAUUGAGAAAUGGCAACAGGGAUAUUAUAUGACGGGCAUUUUAUAUUAUUUCAUUUAAUUCUCUCAACUGCACAAUUACCAUUGUUUUAAAAAUGAGGAAACUGAGUCUUAGACUACUUAAAUAACUUGCCUAAGGUCACUUGACCAGAAUGUGUAAAAGCUGAAAUCUGAGCCUGGGUCUCACUCCAGAGACUGUGCUCUUAACCACUCCUCCUUUGUCCCCCUCUCUCAAUGCAGGUCUCAAUGAAGACCUUUCAUAAUAGGAACAACCCACAAUUCUGCAGCCAAACUAAACAUAGCUCUUUUCCACAGUGCUGAAAUUAUAAAAAGUCUAAAAUGUCCGAGCUUCAUCACCAAAGGUUGGUAGUAUUCAAAAUAUACUAGUAGAGAAGAGCAAAUGAAGAAAAUGGAGAGAAUUAUGGGAAUUAUAAUCAAAGUAAAUAUUUGAAUACAAUAACAAAUACUCAUGGAGAAAUUUUGCAAAAUACAUACGUAUUCCAACAGAUUGAACUUCACUGCUAAAUCUCAGUAUUUCCCUCCAAUUGUAUGUAUAUAACAUACUCCUUUCACUCUAGACACACAAUUUUUCACUUUCAACCACUCUGAUAUAGAAAUUCAUUUUAGAAUCAAUGAUGUCCUAAAAGAAUCACUGUCAAAGUUAUAAAAAUAGAAUUGCUGUCUCCCUGUAUUAAAUCCCAUUUCUGCCAGAGGACUGAUGUUUCUUCUGUCUGGGGGGGAACUACCAACUGUGAACAUUUUAAAUUCCCUUUGCUUGAAGCUUUUUGGACCAGGCCAGGCUGGCGGUGAUACCGAACCUCUUAAUCUCAAGUUUGGGUGCCCAAUGUGUGGCAAGCCAAACACUGAGACGACAGUGCUUGGAGAUGGACAAAGGCCCCAUACAAGUUGGCCAAGAUGAGAAGGUGGGAGCAUGGGUUUGCUCAAAGCUGUCUUAACCAGAGCAAAAAGCGGGGGGGUGGGGUGGGGUGGGGGGGUGGUUAUAGAGCUAAGGGGCUUGGCAAGAGGAGCUUCGGAGAAUCAAAGGGGAUACUCCAGAUAAGUGUCUGGGCAAUCUGACUUCUGGGUGUCAACGACAACUGAGGGCCAGCCAUCUGGUGAUCAUGACCUCCACCAAAGGCAUUCUCUUCUGCAAAAGAAACAAAUCCUUGAGACCCAAGUCACCUCUCAAGUUAACAAGAAAACAGCAAAUUGACAAGAGUCAUCCAUGUCUAUGUUUGGAACAAGGUCAAAAGGCAAUCAUGUUCUUAUUGAGUACAGUAACCCUCAAGUACCCGGCUUCAGUGCUAGGAACUGAAACUAUAAUCUGAAUGAGGACCAGCUGGUUUCUCUGCUGCCGGAUUCCAGAGACAAGUCUAGUUCUCCUUUCCUCUGACUCCGAGGUUUAGCUUUAUGCCAGGGUCUUUGAUCAGCAUCCACAUCCUGGGGUGUGAUUUCUGUGGUGGUGGCUGUCUUUCUUAGUACCAGAAAAAGUGGUGUCUCUUCCAACUAACAAUAUCUUAAAUGAAAUAUAGUAUAUUUAAAACAAUGUAUAUGCAAUUUAAGCAGCACAUAUUUUCCUCAUCUUAAAUAUUCUUCAAAGACAUUAUUUUAAUGAUUGCCCAUGAUUCCAUCAUAUGACAAUCUAUAAUCCAUUAUUUAUUUAUUCUCAUUUGUGUAGAUUUCAGUUGUUUCUAAUUUUUAUCACAGUAAAAAGCUGUAAUGAACGUCAUUUUCAUACAUCCUCAUGUUGUCUCUGAUAAUUUCUUCAGAAUAAAUUCCUAAAAAUUAAAAUAUAAGGUCAAAGGGUAUGAAGAUAAAAACAUUUACGUACUGUCAAAUUGACCUACAGAAAUGCUCAUCACUUUACACAAAAUACCAGCAUUUAUGUAAGGGGCCUAUUUUCCCUAAACUUAAGUAAAAUCUGUCAAAUUUCUUAUGUCAAAAAACUUUCUCAAUUGUUGACUAUUUUGCAUUUAUCUCUGUGGCUGAAUGUUUCAUGUAUUUGUUGAGCAUUUGAAGCUCCUCAUUUGUAGAUCAUUUCCUGAUAUCAUUUGACUAUUUUUCUAUUGAGAUGUUCGUCUUUUUAUGUUAGAAUAAUUUUUACUUGCAGAGUACUACUGCAAAUCUUAUUUGCUAAUAUCUUUCCAUUUCCUUGUCUUUUAAUUUGAUCUUAGAAUUUCUGGAUGCCCGAUUUUUAUUUUAAUAUAACGAGCAUGUAGCAUUUUUCUUUAUGAUUUGAUUCUGUGCUUAACCCUCCAUCAAAUCUUUUCCUCUGAUUUUCCUUUUAGUUAUUUUAUGAUUAUUUCUCUUUAUUCCUCCUAAAUUCCUGGAAUUUAUCAGGGUAUCCAUUCUCCACUACAAUCUGCUAUUCUCUUCCCUAAAACAAACGACUCUAUGUUCCCAGGAUAUUAUUCAUGUUCUCAUUGUUUCCAGCUAAUUGCUUAGAACAACACUCCCCCAUCCUUUUCUACUUCCUGUCCUUGACAGAAAAGGAUAAUCAUUGUAGAGUGUGCUGGUUAAAAGGCAAGUGUGCUUAGCAGCCUGCCAGAGGUCACUAGGCCCUGGGCUCUUCACUCCAGGUCCUCUUACCACUCCAAAGGCUCCUUUCUCAGUACAUCUGUAAGAGCCUUUGUGGAGCACUAGUUGGGAAGUUCUGUCCCAGAACGGCUCUGAUACCGAUCAUGUUCCUCUGACAGGAUCUCUUUUCCGCUGACAUGUGACCUGGGUUCUAUGAAUCAGAUGCUGGCAGUGAUGUAGAGAAGCCCAACUGUGACUGUUAAAUACAAAGAGGGGCCCUGAACAAAAUAAGCAUCUGAGAACCAUCCUCCUGCCCUUUGUCCUGGAGCUUGCUGUGGUAAGGAGAGGAGACUGAACUUCAAGAACACAACUGAGGGCCGGCCCGGUGGCACAGCGGUUAAGUGCACACGUUCCGCUUCUCGGCGGCCCGGGGUUUGCUGGUUCAGAUCCCGGAU